GGAACGGGGAUGGCGAAGGACCAAGGCUUUAAAGAGGUGGCUUGUACGCAUGAGAAACGGGAGAGCUGGGAGAGGCAGGACAAGGCGGUGAUGGGAAACGCGGGAAGCAACUCUUCUCUCUCUCUCCCUCUCUCUCUCUCUCCCUUACCGAGCGCAGUUUCUACGGGGUAAGCAAUUCGGUGGUAGAUGACAACUGUAGC
rnacentral:lncRNA from 1 species